AGUGAACGCUGGCGGUAGGCCUAACACAUGCAAGUCGAACGGCAGCACAGUAAGAGCUUGCUCUUACGGGUGGCGAGUGGCGGACGGGUGAGGAAUACAUCGGAAUCUACUUUUUCGUGGGGGGUAACGUAGGGAAACUUACGCUAAUACCGCAUACGACCUACGGGUGAAAUCAGGGGAUCUUCGGACCUUGCGCGAUUGAAUGAGCCGAUGUCGGAUUAGCUAGUUGGCGGGGUAAAGGCCCACCAAGGCGACGAUCCGUAGCUGGUCUGAGAGGAUGAUCAGCCACACUGGAACUGAGACACGGUCAAGACUCCUACGGGAGGCAGCAGUGGGGAAUAUUGGGCAAUGGGCGCAAGCCUGAUCCAGCCAUACCGCGUGGGUGAAGAAGGCCUUCGGGUUGUAAAGCCCUUUUGUUGGGAAAGAAAAGCAGCAGGUUAAUACCCCGCUGUUCUGACGGUACCCAAAGAAUAAGCACCGGCUAACUUCGUG
rnacentral:rRNA from 1 species